UACGUAGGGUGCAAGCGUUAAUCGGAAUUACUGGGCGUAAAGCGUGCGCAGGCGGUGAUGUAAGACAGGUGUGAAAUCCCCGGGCUUAACCUGGGAACUGCAUUUGUGACUGCACGGCUAGAGUGCGGCAGAGGGGGAUGGAAUUCCGCGUGUAGCAGUGAAAUGCGUAGAUAUGCGGAGGAACACCGAUGGCGAAGGCAAUCCCCUGGGCCUGCACUGACGCUCAUGCACGAAAGCGUGGGGAGCAAACAGG
rnacentral:rRNA from 1 species